CAAAUCCAAUCGGUAGCAUAAAUAGCCGGCACAUCAUAUAAAAGUAAGAAUUGUAUAUCACAGUCACCAAGGGACCACAUAACAUGGAGCACAUGUUAUGUUGCCACUUGCAGGAUAUCAGGUGAAAUGGCGAAAAAUUGUACUCAUUUACCUCCCAGCCCCAAGAAUACAAAACACCUGAAAAGCACCUAAGAGAUCCAAGCUAAGCAAGGAAAAAAAUGAACUCUGAUAAACCUGAUACAGUGAGAUUCUGAAUCUCCAAAAUGUGAAAAAUGUAGAGGAAGAAGCUCAACAAAAUAAAACAGCCAAACAAUUAACACACCACAAAUCAUCAAGCUUCCCAUAAAACAGGAAGACAAAGAACUCUGAUGUAGU
rnacentral:misc_RNA from 1 species